UACGAAGGUGGCAAGCGUUGUUCGGAUUUACUGGGCGUACAGGGAGCGUAGGCGGUUGGAUAAGCCCCUCCGUGAAAUCUCCAGGCUUAACCUGGAAAGUGCAGAGGGGACUGUUCAGCUAGAGGAUGGGAGAGGAGCGCGGAAUUCCCGGUGUAGCGGUGAAAUGCGUAGAGAUCGGGAGGAAGGCCGGUGGCGAAGGCGGCAUCCUGGACCGGCAUUGACGCUGAGGAGCGAAAGCCAGGGGAGCAAACGGG
rnacentral:rRNA from 1 species